rnacentral:rRNA from 1 species
GACGAACGCUGGCGGCGUGCUUAACACAUGCAAGUCGAACGGAAAGGCCCCUUUGGGGGUACUCGAGUGGCGAACGGGUGAGUAACACGUGAGUAACCUGCCCUUGACUUCGGGAUAACUUCAGGAAACUGGGGCUAAUACCGGAUAGGAAUCCUUGCUGCAUGGUGGGGGUUGGAAAGCUUCGGCGGUUUUGGAUGGACUCGCGGCUUAUCAGCUUGUUGGUGGUGUAGUGGCUUACCAAGGCUUUGACGGGUAGCCGGCCUGAGAGGGCGACCGGCCACAUUGGGACUGAGAUACGGCCCAGACUCCUACGGGAGGCAGCAGUGGGGAAUAUUGCACAAUGGGCGGAAGCCUGAUGCAGCAACGCCGCGUGCGGGAUGACGGCCUUCGGGUUGUAAACCGCUUUCAGCAGGGGCGAAGCUUGUGGUGACGGUACCUGCAGAAGAAGCACCGGCUAACUACGUG